CAAAAUACAACCCAAAAACCAAGACAUAGCCAUAAAGUAAAAGAAACCCUAAACAAAAGCACAUCAGGAGGAUUUCUUCAAUACAUCUCCGAGUUCAAUCCUGUUAAGGAAAACAAAUCUACAGGGUGAGCAAAAACGCUCGUGAGGCCAAGAACACGCAUGCAGGCACAUAGUUCAAAUAACAAACCCAAGUAACAAUUCAAGUAAUAGCUUGCAAGUAAUUAAUAAUGCCAACCAAAAUGUAACCAGAAAUAAUUCAAGGAUAUGGUAGCUCUCAGGAGCUAAAUUCCACUUGCUUUGCCAGUUCAUUCGUAUAUCUUCCCGUGAUGACUCUCCGUUAACCGGGUUGAUAUUUCAUAUCCGUAGUUCACCACUUACUUCUCAUCCGUCCACCAUACACCGCUUCGGGCCCGCACGACAUUUAUAAGGCUAUAUUUCACGAGUAUGCCAAGCAAGAUCUCUCAAAUAGAUCAAGCUUAUCAUGCAAUUCUCAUGGCUCACCGAUGGUUCCGACCAAUCCCAUGCCGGCUCGAGUUCCAAGGUCGGCCUAUGAGUUUGGGCGUCCCCCAUGUGUCAUGUAAGUGUCGAGGAGAUUCCCUCCAACGACGUAUGCAGCCAUAGCAUACCAUAUCAUGUAUUCAAGCAUUUGACAGGUCUAAGCAUGUAUUUCAGGUCAUGUAAAUCAGGCAAACCAUGUUAAGCAUGAGUCAUUUGUUUCAAAUGAGAACGAGUGCGAUAAAGUACACACUCGACUCCAUUUUUCAAAACCAUGUAGGCUAAGCAUGUAAUCAGGUAAGCCAAGCAUGAAUCAAGUCCAUAGAGUUCAAGUAGUCAUACACUUGACACUCACCGAGCAAAUCAAGAAGAAAUAUUUUCUGGAAGUUCAAGUGUGCACGGUAGGAUCCUCUUGAAGGUCCUCGUGUGCGCCUGGCAAAUAAUAACGUAUUAUCAUUCAUAUAUCCCAAUUAUCAAGAAAGAUUGUACACUAGUAAAAUCUAAGGAAAUUCCACGAAAUCGAACCUCAAUUACUCGUAAAUCGAGAUUCAAUUAGAGUUUCUUAAAGUACAGGAGCAUUUGGAUUUUUAUCUUGGAAAUCGGGGAUAAAACGUUUAGAUAAUAUCAAAAGAAUAAAGAGUUCUUGAAAAACUCUAUUUCCUUGAAAGUUGGAAAAUUUCAGUUUUGUUAUGAAUCUUUGAAGUUGGAUUUUCAAAAAGGUGCAGGACUCGAGUAAAAUCGGAUUAUUAUCCUUGGAAUCAUUGGUUGGAAACGAGUACGAACGAAACGAUUGCAAAACGAACGAUCGAAAUCGGAAGUGGACUGGGCACGUCACAAUCCGGCCGGAAUCUCCGGAUUCUUGGCCGGAUUGGAGGCAGUAGCCAUCCUCAUUUUUUUCAAAUCCCCACUACAAUCCGGCCAGAAACUGGCCGGAUUCAAGGCCGGAUUCUAUAACAAUGCUUCCCGCGCGGAUUUCUUUUGAAAUUCCAGAAUUUUUGAUUUUUGGUAAAAUCUUUGAAAAAUCAUAACUUCUUUUGUACUAGUCAAAAAUUGAUAAAUUUGGUACCGUUGGAAUCGUCUUCCAAAGUACUAAAAUUUCCUAGAAGAGACCUUUCCACGAAUCUAAGUGGAAAGCACUUAAAUUUUGGCUCAAAGUUGGUAACUUGAGUUACCAAGGUAGUUUUAAGUUGGAUUUUGGCCAACUUUGGAAAUUCGGCAAAAGUCACACGUUGUAAGUUAGCAUCUGAAAUUUAUAACUCAAUUAGAGUUGCAAGUGGUGUUUAUAGCAGAGCAAGCGGAUCGAGAAUCGGAGUUUCGAGUACCGAAAUAUGGUAGCUCAAAAUUGGGUAAAAUUCAAGAUUGUUAACAAAUUUUCAGAUUUGGUUCCGACUUUGGAUCUUUAGUUAAGUGUCGAAACGGACUUGGAUUGAUACCAAAUUUUGCAGUAUAAUACUCCUAUAUGAAGGGUAUCUCUCUAUCAAAUUUCGUGGAAAAAUACCUUCGGGAAGGUAGUUAACCAAUCAACCAAAGUUUGGAAAAAUUCUUAAGGCAAUCUGCCUUUAAUCCUUUUCUUCCCAAAUCCAAUCAUUUGGCUAUGAAAAUCCUCCAAUCAUGGUUCAUAUGUAAAAGUAAAGUCUAAGGAUCAUUCAUGGUACAUUUGGUAUGUGUUUAACACCAAAAAUUUCGUUUAGUAAGACCACAACAGUCUCAUCUCAAAUCUGUCCAAAACUAGGCUUUUUCCAAAACAAAGCAGCGUUCUUGUUUUGAUCACAAUUCAGUCGACCUAAGUCGGAAUUGAGCAUGGUUUACGGUGUUGGAAAAUGAAUUCAUAGGACUAUAAUUUCACAGAAGAAAUCGUUUUAAGUUUCAGCAUGCAACUAGCUCGAAAUUAAGCAUAAAGUUGCAGCAUCAUCAAAUCAUUUCGGCAGAACGGCAAAACAGGGCAGCUGAAUUCAGAUGAGUGGUACGGUUCACACACAUGGAACCAGAACAUGCAUUAUAUACUGUUGGAAAGAUGGGAAUGUCUAGUUUCAAAUGCCACUAACGGAACUUGAUUUCGACGUCGGAGUACGGAGUUAUGGACGAAUCACGAACACUGGUCUGGAUUAUGACGAAACCGUUUUCCAGAUUACUAGCAUUGGGAAUAAAUUCGUUUGAUCAACCAAAACUCAGUAUUUUUCAAUGAAAAUUUUUACACAACUACUACAACAUGUAAAAAAUACAAUCAAGCCAUUAAAUCCUCAAAUUUCUGCAUUAAAGUGACCGAACAGAGCAGGGGCAAAAUGGUCAGAUUUGGCCUUUGCACCUAACGUAAGUUUCUUUCAUAUUUCCAGCAACAAACCACUGAUUUAAGCACUAAUCCAACAUUAUAAACAUCAUCAGGCACAAAAUCAGUAGCAACCCAAGAGUGGGAGUUCAUAGAGCCCACUUUUUCAAUUUUUCCAACAACAACCACAACCCAUAUGCAAAUUCAAGCUCAUAAGUGUAAUCCUACUCUUAAAAACUAAGUUUAGAGUGUUGGAUCAUUACCUACUUUGAUGGUGGUUCAAGUCAGAAUUUCGGCCCUUUGAAGCCUGAAGAAAACCGUGGAUAGCUCCUUCCUUUUGCAGCUAGAUGGACUUCCCAAGUAUUGAGCUAGGUGUAGUUAAGUUUUGAGAGAAUUUGGUGGUGGUUUGAGUGAGUUUAGAAGAGGGAAUGUUGAAGAGUUUUUGGUUGUUUCUCUGCAGCAGCUGGCCGACCAUGAAGCUUGAAGAUAAGAAAUGUUUUG
rnacentral:lncRNA from 1 species